AAGUUCUCUGUAUGUUAUAGAUAUUAACACCUUGUUGGAUAUAUCAUUUCUAAAUAGUUUCUCCUAUUCAGUGUGUUGGUUUUUUUGUUUUAUUGGUGGUUUCUCUUACAGGGCUAA